GACGAACGCUGGCGGCGUGCCUAAUACAUGCAAGUAGAACGCUGAAGGAGGAGCUUGCUUCGCUGGAUGAGUGGCGAACGGGUGAGUAACGCGUAGGUAACCUGCCUGGUAGCGGGGGAUAACUAUUGGAAACGAUAGCUAAUACCACAUAAUAGCAGCUAUUGCAUGAUAACUGUUUGAAAGGUGCAAUUGCACCACUACCAGAUGGACCUGCGUGGUAUUAGCUAGUUGGUGGGGUAACGGCUCACCAAGGCGACGAUACAUAGCCGACCUGAGAGGGUGAUCGGCCACACUGGGACUGAGACACGGCCCAGACGCCUACGGGAGGCAGCAGUAGGGAAUCUUCGGCAAUGGACGGAAGUCUGACCGAGCAACGCCGCGUGAGUGAAGAAGAUUUUCGGAUCGUAAAGCUCUGUUGUAAGAGAAGAACGAGUGUGAGAGUGGAAAGAGCACACUGUGACGGUAUCUGACCAGAAAGGGACGGCUAACUACGU
rnacentral:rRNA from 1 species